rnacentral:lncRNA from 1 species
CUUCUAUUCCACGGAGGCAGACAGCGAAAACCAUUUCAUAACCAUGGCAAGGCAUGAGAGAAGCACAGCUGCAAAGUUUUGGAAAAGACCUCUGCAACAACUGGAAGCACAGUGUACCCAAGUGAAUCUAUGUGCCUAACAUGGCUUGCAUGCUCCCAGCUUCUGCACGUGAUGCAUCUGCUAUUAACAUUCAGAGAUUCACCCUGAAAAUGAAGGCAACUGUUUGGAGAACAAUGUAAAAUGAUGAGAAUAGACCAUCCUAUGACCCCCUUUUUACAUUAAUAUUUCUUAAAAUGGUAAAUCUUAUUGAUUGCAUCUAUUUCCAAGGAAGUAGGGUUUCUUAAAUGCUUUAUAUACACAGGAGCCAGUUUUUAUGAGGUUAUAGAGGAGCAGUAAAUACAGUAAGAUUAAUAAAACUUCGUUGUUUUCACAAUUGACAGAAUGAUAUUAUUGCCUAUAGGGUAAUAACAGCUUAUGGGAUUGAUUUUAAGAUGAAUAAGAUGCAAGUAAUUCGAACUUAUCAUCAAUUACCCUUGGUUACUCCCAUGAGUAUGUAUCUAGCCAAAAUGGUGUUGGAUUUGAAUUACUGGGACAUAGAUAGCUGUUUCUUUAUGCAUCAAUGCAUUCUAGCCUCCACUUGCGAAAACUCCAAAAGUAUGUUGGGUAAUUUAAAAAAAUAAGGAUAGUACUCUACUUGCUUAAUGAUUUAGAAUUUCUUUAUAAAAAGUGAACUCUGAAGUCAAUAUUUCACUGGAGAGGGAAAGAAUAAUGAUUUUAAUUCUAUGUAAUUUUUUUAAAGCUUAAAAACAAGUUUUGAAAUGUUUUAUGUACUAAAUUUAAUCUAUGUACAUAUUUACACACACAUAUAUAUACAUGUGUAUAUGUGUGCCUGCAUAUAUGUGUGUGUAUGUGUGAUGUGUGUGUGUAUAUAAAUGUGGCCUAAAUGUUGCCAACCAAAUUUUAUGAGCAAUAACUACAUUUGGAAUUGUGAAAAUAUGAGCCAUAGGAUUUUAUUCAAAAACAGAGCAGUGAGUCUUUUUAAUGUACAUCUAUGAAAAGCAUACCAGUAGCAGUAUACAGGCAUCAUUAGAUGACAGGUAUAAAAUCCUUUGGGCAAGCACUGAUGCACAUUAAAUUCAAGUACAUAAUAUGUCAA